CAAUAAGCGGAGGAAAAGAAACCAACAGGGAUUGCCCCAGUAACGGCGAGUGAAGCGGCAACAGCUCAAAUUUGAAAUCUGGCCCUCGGGUCCGAGUUGUAAUUUGGAGAGGAUGCUUUUGGCGCGGCGCCGUCCGAGUUCCUUGGAACAGGACGCCAUAGAGGGUGAGAGCCCCGUACGGGCGGCCGCCUAGCCUUUGUAAAGCUCCUUCGACGAGUCGAGUAGUUUGGGAAUGCUGCUCAAAAUGGGAGGUAAAUUUCUUCUAAAGCUAAAUACCGGCCAGAGACCGAUAGCGCACAAGUAGAGUGAUCGAAAGAUGAAAAGCACUUUGAAAAGAGGGUUAAAAAGUACGUGAAAUUGUUGAAAGGGAAGCGCCUGUGACCAGACUUGCGGCCCGUGGAUCAUCCGGUGUUCUUCACCGGUGCACUCCGCGGGCUGCAGGCCAGCAUCGGUUUUCUUAGGGGGAUAAAGGUCGCGGGAACGUAGCUCCCUCGGGAGUGUUAUAGCCCGUGGCGUCAUGCCUCUGGGGGGACCGAGG
rnacentral:rRNA from 1 species